rnacentral:lncRNA from 1 species
ACUACACAGCGGGGGUGGUUGUAGUGUUGCUUCGGCAGGCGGGACGGGUGUAUCACAGUCCCUGGAUAGAUUGGGUCAGCAUUGAUAUUUUACUACAGAUGAUUAGAGUAGAGCAUGAUAGUGUAGUGAUAGUUAGCUGUAGACGUUUUUCAGCUUUCCUACUAUUCUUGCUCCUUUCUGUAGACUUAGUGGGUGGACCGAUGAUUGUUGAGGGCGGCACCCACUGAGGACUACUUAUUUUUACAGUAAUUCUCACGCCCAGUUGUUACUCCUCUUUUGCAGAGCCUGCUGUUCCAGUUGCUGCUGCCUCUGAGACCGAUCGUGGCAAGGGCGUUGCCGGUUAGAGCCCUUCCCAGUUGUGUAUGUUCGAGAGGAUACCAGUUUCAGGUAGUGGUUUUGUUUCUGUUGCAGUUCAUGUACAUGCAGUAUAAAUAACUCGCUGGAGCGAGUCUUUUGUACCUGGAUUUUAUAUGUAUAUAAAACUGGCUUUUGUUUACCUGUUUUUCUUCCAGCAGCUCUAUACUACUGUUUGUAGUAUUGUAUAUUCUACAGAUACAGCUAUCGCUACGUGUACAGGAGAAAUUCCUUUGUUUUCGGCGGAUUUGUCAGCGUGGCCGGAGAAUAAAACAUCCGGAGCGUGACAAUAAAUUUAUUAAUUUAUUAAAUUAUUUUUAAUUAAUAUUUUAUUGUUAAUUAAUUAUAUAAAAUAUUUUAAAUUUAAAAUCCUAAUUACUCUUAUUCUUGCUAUUUCAAUGUAACCAUCCAAAUAUCAUUUGUNNNNNNNNNNNNNNNNNNNNNNNNNNNNNNNNNNNNNNNNNNNNNNNNNNNNNNNNNNNNNNNNNNNNNNNNNNNNNNNNNNNNNNNNNNNNNNNNNNNNGGAUGUAAUUAAACUUAAAAUAAUGGGUACAUUGACCUUUGCCGAUUUGUUGUUCAAAAAAUUAUACUUAAUUAUUUUGCGAUUUAAUUAGCAUUCAGUUUUCUACUCGCCAUCAUGUUGUUUAAAAAGUUACACUUAACUAUUUUAUAAUUUUAUUUUUAUUUCACCGUAAAAAUUUAUUAUUAAACAAGGUAUCACAAGACUUUCAACAAAUUUUACUUUGCUAUCCUAUUUACGUCAUUUUUUUUUUGAAAAAUAAAAAAUAAGUUAUAAGAUAAUUAAAUUUAAUUUUUUGAACUAUCUGGUAAUAAACUAAAGAGGAACAUAAGGGACAAAUUAAAGUUUGUCCUAAAUUAAAUUUUAAGCCAUCUAGUGUCAUCACUAUAAUAAUUCUCUUUUAUUUAUUGUCUCCCUGCCACCAAACAUGUGGCCCAUGAGAGAAAUAACAAUUCACUAAUUCAACGGGAUCGGCUGCAAAGCAUUAAUAAUCGUGCCACCAACUAAGUUACAACUCUCUUUAAAAAAAAAAAAAAUGAUAUUUUUCGUAUUUUGAAUAUUUUAAAACAGGCUUAUAUAUUAAUUAUUUGAUCAGAUACGUGUACAGUUCCUAAUCUCGCAGUUCAUUAGCGAAAUAUUAUAUGAUUUAAGAUAGAUCCGGUCGUUGAUGAGCAGAACAAAACAUUAUUGUGAUGCGCCCAACAAUUUUUUUUUUUUUUUUUUUUACCUAUAGUUGCGGCACACGCUGAGUUUAAUAUUUAAAGGAUUUACCUAUAGUUGGGGUACAUAUUAGACUUGGAUUUGACUUAGGAGAAAACUGCGAAUAUAACAUGUCAUAUGUUUACACUACCAGAUUUAACUCUAAGAGCCGUUGUAUCGCCCACGAGUGCCACUCCGGAGCCGGGCCUAGUGCUGUUGCGUUGGUGUCGCUGUGUCCUGGUUGGACUUACUCUCCACUAACUACCCAGCAGAGGUGGUUGUAGUGUUGCUUCGGCAGGCGGGACGGGUGUAUCACAGUCCCUAAAUAGAUUGGGUCAGCAUUGAUAUUUUACUACAUAUGAUUAGAGUAGAGCAUGAUAGUAUAGUGAUAGUUAGCUGUAGACGUUUUCCAGCUUUCCUACUAUUCUUGCUCCUUUCUGUAGACUUAGUGAGUGGACCGAUGAUUGUUGAGGGCGCCACCCACUGAGAACUACUUGUUUUUACAGUAGUUCUCACGCCCAGUUGUUACUCCUCGUUUGCAGAGCCUGCUGUUCCAGUUGCUGCUGCCUCUGAGACCGAUCGUGGCAAGGGCGUUGCCGGUUAGAGCCCUUCCCAGUUGUGGCUGUUCGAGAGGAUACCAGUUUCAAGUAGUGGUUUUGUUUCUGUUGCAGUUCAUGUACAUGCAGUAUAUAUAACUCGCUGGAGCGAAUCUUUUGUACCUGGAUUUUGUAUGUAUAUGAAACUGGCUUUUGUUUACCUGUUUUUCUUCCAGCAGCUCUAUACUACUGUUUGUAGUAUUGUAUAUUCUACAGAUACAACUAUUGCUACGUAUACAGGAAAAAUUCCUUUAUUUACGGCGGAUUUGUCGGCGUGCCCGGAGAAUGAAACAUCCGGGACGUGACAAUAAAUUUAUUAAUUUAUUAAAUUAUUUUUAAUUAAUAUUUUGAUGUUAAUUAAUUAUAUAAAAUAUUUUAAAUUUAAAAUCCUAAUUACUCUUAUUCUUGCUAUUUCAAUGUAACCAUCCAAAUAUCAUUUGUCUUAUUUUCAAAAAACAGUCGAACUUGUAUCUAAACCAAAAAUUAGUUUUGUUUCUACUUAGUUGCACGAAGUUGUACCUAAACUAGGAAUAAGUAAUUCAUAUUUAUUUCUGAACCAAACGAUAUUAAUUCCUAUAAUUCUUAUUUAUUUCUGAACCAAUCAAUACUUUCAUAGUCAAUA